CAGGGAUUGCCUCAGUAACGGCGAGUGAAGCGGCAACAGCUCAAAUUUGAAAUCUGGCUCGUUCCGAGCCCGAGUUGUAAUUUGUAGAAGAUGCUUCGGGUGCGGUCCCGGUCUAAGUUCCUUGGAAGAGGACGUCACAGAGGGUGAGAAUCCCGUAUGUGACCGGGUGCCCGCGCCUAUGUGAAGCUCUUUCGACGAGUCGAGUUGUUUGGGAAUGCAGCUCUAAAUGGGUGGUAUAUUUCAUCUAAAGCUAAAUAUUGGCCAGAGACCGAUAGCGCACAAGUAGAGUGAUCGAAAGAUGAAAAGCACUUUGGAAAGAGAGUUAAACAGUACGUGAAAUUGUUGAAAGGGAAGCGCUUGCAAUCAGACUUGCGCGCCGUCGAUCAUCCUAGGUUCUCCUGGGUGCACUCGGCGGCGUUCAGGCCAGCAUCGGUUCCGGUGGUGGGAUAAAGGCCUUGGGAAUGUAGCUCCUCUCGGGGAGUGUUAUAGCCCUCGGUGCAAUGCCGCCUACUGGGACCGAGGACCGCGCUCCGGCUAGGAUGCUGGCGUAAUG
rnacentral:rRNA from 1 species